GACGAACGCUGGCGGCGUGCUUAACACAUGCAAGUCGAACGAUGAAGAAAAGAAUUGAAGCUUCGGCAGAAAUUCAUUUCGGAUUAGUGGCAGACGGGUGAGUAACGCGUGAGCAACCUACCUCUUACAAAGGGAUAGCCUCGGGAAACCGGGAUUAAUACCAUAUAACAUUGCGACGAAGCAUUUCGAUGCAAUCAAAGCUACGGCGGUAAGAGAUGGGCUCGCGUCCCAUUAACCAGAUGGUGAGGUAACGGCUCACCAUAGUAACGAUGGGUAACCGGCCUGAGAGGGUGAACGGUCACACUGGAACUGAGACACGGUCCAGACUCCUACGGGAGGCAGCAGUGGGGAAUUUUGCACAAUGGAGGGAACCCUGAUGCAGCGCCGCCGGGUGAGUGAUAAAGGAAUUCGUUUCGUAAAACUCUGUUUUAUGGGAAGAAAAGGACUGUACCAUAGGAGAAAGCCCCGGCUAAAUACGU
rnacentral:rRNA from 1 species